rnacentral:rRNA from 1 species
ACGAACCGUGCGAACGUUGUUCGGAAUCAUUGGGCUUAAAGGGCGCGUAGGCGGGUGUUCAAGUCCGGGGUGAAAUCCUCCAGCUCAACUGGAGAAGAGCCCCGGAUACUGUUCAUCUAGAGAGAGGUAGGGGCACAUGGAACUUCCGGUGGAGCGGUGAAAUGCGUAGAGAUCGGAAGGAACGCCGGUGGCGAAAGCGAUGUGCUGGAUCUUUUCUGACGCUGAGGCGCGAAAGCUAGGGGAGCAAACGGGAUUAGAUACCCCGGUAGUCCUAGCCCUAAACGAUGGGUACUGGGUUGCGGGUCAGACAUAGACUCGCAGCCGAAGCAAAAGUGUUAAGUACCCCGCCUGGGGAGUAUGGUCGCAAGGCUG